rnacentral:misc_RNA from 1 species
UUUCCGUAGGUGAACCUGCGGAAGGAUCAUUAUUGUAUAACCGAGGUGCGAGGGCUGUCGCUGACCCGAAAGGUCGUGCACGCCCGAGUGCCCUCACACACAUCCAUCUCACCCCUAUGUGCACCACCGCGUGGGUCCCCCUUUGGCUUGUUCGGAGGGGGGCUUACGUUUUCACACAAACUUUGUAUGCAGUGUAGAAUGUAUUUUUUGUUUUUGCGAUCACGCAAUCAAUAAACUUUCAACAACGGAUCUCUUGGUUCUG